rnacentral:rRNA from 1 species
GACGAACGCUGGCGGCGUGCUUAACACAUGCAAGUCGAACGAUGAAGCUAGAGCUUGCUCUGGUGAAUUAGUGGCGAACGGGUGAGUAACACGUGAGUAACCUGCCCCGAACUCUGGGAUAACUGCUGGAAACGGUAGCUAAUACUGGAUACGACCUACGAAGGCAUCUUCUGUAGGUGGAAAGAAUUUCGGUUCGGGAUGGACUCGCGGCCUAUCAGCUUGUUGGUGAGGUAAUGGCUCACCAAGGCGACGACGGGUAGCCGGCCUGAGAGGGUGACCGGCCACACUGGGACUGGGACACGGCCCAGACUCCUACGGGAGGCAGCAGUGGGGAAUAUUGCACAAUGGGCGCAAGCCUGAUGCAGCAACGCCGCGUGAGGGAUAACGGCCUUCGGGUUGUAAACCUCUUUUAGUAGGGAAGAAGCGAAAGUGACGGUACCUGCAGAAAAAGCACCGGCUAACUACGUGCCAGCAGCCGCGGUAA